rnacentral:misc_RNA from 1 species
AAAAUUAUUACCAAGAUGGCCGCGUCCAUGAGGCAUAAUUUUAUCAAACCAAUCAUUCCUAUGUAUGCACAUAAUAUGCACUUUAGAAACAAAUCUUCUAAUGCAAACAGUACAAACGAGAUGAAGAACCCAAAAGAAAAUGCCGGUCACUAUUUUCACCCAAGAAAAAACCAGAAAUAUAAGAAAGUUCAAGGAUCAAGUAUCGGGAAAAGCAAUUUGCUGCAAUCAUAUCCCGGAGUGAGACAGCUGGAUGAAAUAACUGGGGAUCAUGUGUAGGUAACAUGACUUCAGUAAGAUCAUAAAGCAUUUCUUGAUGUGCAAGAUAAUAGAUUCCUCCUCAAACCUCAUCUUUUUUGUCAUGGUUUGAACAAUGGGCAGCAGACGAUGGAAAUAUUUUUAUUUAAGAUUCGUAGGUUGAAAUGUUAUUGAUAGGCAUGAUAAAGCUGUUUCUAUGGAAUCUUGCAAGUGAAUGUUUCACAGUUUUGACAACUUUAUGAGUUGAUCACCUUUGGUGCCAAGUUAAAGAAUUUUGUCAGUUUUUGCCUCUGUCGAAUACACCAGUACACUAUGUACUAUGGGAAUGGAAUUUCAAGAAUAAAGUCAAAUCUACCUUAUUCUGUUUGACAUUUUGCAAUUUUAGGAAUGAACUGGUUGAUUCCAAAUCAGCAGCUGGUAUCGAGAAAACACAAACAAUAUUUCUAGAAGGAGAAAAAAUUAUUAGACAGGCUGUGAAAGCUGGAAUCCAUUUUAAAUCGGUAUAUACUACAGAGGUGAAACUUUUGGAGAAACUUGAGUUGGGUGAAGCUCAGCAGUACAUUACAAAGGUCAAAGCCUUAAAGAGCUGGGUCUCCCAAAAGGCAGUUGAGUCUGAUGGCAUCAUUUGUGGUAGGUAUCAUGACAGAGUUAAUUAAAUAUUUAGUUCCAAAUUUAAUAUCAAUCAGAGCUAAAAUCUUUCAUCUCUUUUGGUCAAAAUAUUCAAAUUUCAGCCAAAAAUUUUAAAACAAAAUAUUGUGUUCUUGUAUGUAUGUUUCCAUUUUUACAGGUAAAUUAAUUACAUUAAAAAAACAACAAUCUACUAACACAUUUUAUAUAACACUAUUUUUUAUAUUUAUUUUGUAUUUAUAUAUGGAAUAAACACCAGAUACUCUACCUAUAAAGUUGAGUGACCUGUAGUUGUAACUAUAUGUACAUGUAGUAUAAAUACAUGUGUAUAACAUAUCUGCUAAUUUUUAUAGCUGUAGCUCAAAAACCAGACCCAAGUGUCAGUGAGACAGAGAAUAGGCUGCCUGUUACCGUGGUGAUGGACAGAAUCACUGAUCCUUGGACAGCUGGAGUUCUCCUGAGAACAGCUCACGGUGUAGGAUGUAGGAGAUUUGUCACCACAAAAGGGUGUUGCAAUAUGUGGGACUCUGAAGUUUUGACAGCUAGUGAUGGAAGCCAUUUUUACAUGCCAAUUCAAACAAAUCUGUCCUGGAAUGUACUCAAACAGAAUGGAGAAGCUGAAGAAUAUACAUGUACAAGAAGGAAGGUUAUUUUUACAUCAGCAAGGCCAAUGACAUUUCAAGCAAUCUUGAAAGCAGAGGAAAAGUUUCUUACAGAUAACCUUGAGGAUGAGGAUACAGAUGCAUUGGAUAAUGAUUCAUCACCUACAAGUUUAUCAAAAUCUGCAGAGAAAAGCGGAUUUCAAUUAACAAAUUUCAACGAGGUGGAUUUAAGUAAUGCUGACGACUUUACAUUGAUAAUCAGUGAUGACACACUGAAAGUUUCAAAUCAAAAGAUAAAAUUUCUGUAUGAAAACGAUGCUGUUUUAGCAUCAGUACCUAUGACAAGUGGAUUGACCAAGUUAAAUCCAACAGUGCCCGGUACUUUGAUGUUGUAUCAUUUACUUGGUCAACUGACUUCUAAUAAAGUUUGAAAAUUCUU